UUCCACUCCCUACUUGCUGAUAAGGGGUGGUUGUGGUGGGUUACCCUUGAUAUGUCAUUGCCUCGGCGGAGGCAUGGUUGUAAGCUGGUAGUAAUUAUAACGCACCACAAAGUAGCCCACAAUAAUCCUAUUAAUUUUCCUUAUUAACACUAAAAUUUGUCGAUUGUAGCAUAUGAAAAUAAGGGUCUUUCCCGCAGAAGAUUGUUUUAUCCAAAUACUUAAAAUGUCACAAAAACGGGGUGGCUGUCUCCACUGACCAGCCACUGAACAAUAAUUAUUAGACUAACGUACACUUAUCCAAAUGCAACGAAAUUUUAUACACAUAAACUAGACACACCAAGCUAUGCUCACACAAAUUUUUGGGAUUUUUGGAGUUGAUUAGCUAUUUCAAUUAAAUCGGACAAAACAGGACCUCAACAAGUUUUAAAUAAUACCAAUAGAUUUUAAUUCACAAGUUAAGAAAACGAGUUAGGGGACAUGCUAUCCACCACCAAAUAAUCAUGCAAGCAUGUUAUGUUUCAUUCAAAUCCCUUUUAUUUCCGGAUGAAGAUGCUCAAGUUGGCUCACUGUUAGAACUCAACCUAUUACUCUUUCUUACGUAGUAUGUUAAGAGAAUGGCGUUUUCAACUUAACUUAGUCCCUAGCAUGCAAUUUAGAAUGGCGUGUUCAUAGAUUUAACAAGUAGAGAUCAUUAAGGAUAAAAAGAGUUUGAGUCAUCACAAGGCAUCGUAAGCACUGGCGUUGUCUUACUUAUCCUAGAAAUCGGUUCACAUGUUAACCACAAUUAACAAGUGCUACUCUAUAACAUAUGUAGGUCCUCAUUCAACAAGGGCAGGUAAACAUAUAUUCAUAGCAUUAAAAUCCUAGAUAUGCUCACUAUGUAUGCAUCCAUAGAAACACAUAAAGAAUUUAUCAAUGACAUAAGUAGUGAAACAAUUUUCAUCCUUUCAUAAAAGCAAUUCAACGAAAUGUCAUAACAAACUUGCAAUCAUAUUCGGGGCUUCAAAACAGCCCCUAGCUACUUAAAAUUUAGUUACACAUAAUUCUCAAAUUAAACCAAAAGUAAAACAUGGGGUUGAGAAGAUAAAACCAAGAAAAAUAGAGUGAAGCUUUGCUCUCUGCCGUGCCUCUUGCAUCUGCUGUCAGUCUGUGAUUCUGUUCCCUCUGCUUCUGUGCUUCUGCUCCCACACAGUCUCUCCUCUUUCUCUGCGCCUCACGUCUGCUCUCUGUCGUGUCUCUCCUCUGCUUCUUAUUCUUCUUUUAUUUCUUUUUCCGCACAGUUUUUCUCUGCUUCUCUGUCUUUAAUUGCUGUUUUUAUUCUUUCUGCCGUCCAGUCCGUGUCCCACUUCUCUAUUUCUUUAUUCAGUCUUUUCUUUCUGCCAGUUUUUGUCAGUCCCGCCACUCACUUCCUUUCUUUAUUCCUCUUGUGUCCUGCUUUCCUUUUACCGUCCCAUUUAUUUCUGUUUUUUUCUUUUCUUUUUCUGUUCUUUCCAGCCCGUGUCUCUCUGCCUUUGUCAAAAGGAAGCCAUUUCAAUUCACACUUAGUGCUCCACGUGCUCCACCUUUAAUUCUUUUAUUUGUUUUUUCUAUUUUCUUUAUUCCAUUUUGCUUGAAAUUGAUCCUAAAACAAAAUUAACUGUACAUUAACACAAGGUAAGGUAAAAUGCCACAAUUUUAACACAAAAACAUCACAAAGACUUUAGAAAUUGAUGGUAUAAAUGCAUGAAAUAUAUGAGUGAUCAAAUACCCCCAAACUUACAUUUUUGCUAGUCCUCUAGCAAAACAAAACACAAAACAAAACCACUCAACUAAGACUAGAUUCAACAACUUAGUAGCCAACUUCUCAAUUUCGAUUUCAGAGAUAAGUGCUAACCAUGAAAUACACGGCCAAGAAGUAAGUAACAAGAGCUCAAAACAUCAUCCAAUAGUUAACCAAAUUUCCUUCAAACAAAAUGUUGAAAAGCCAUGUGUGAGCUAGCCAUGUCAAUGCAAUUCCAAGCUCCUUUAAAUCAUCAUAUGCAAACAUGUGAGUUUCUUACACGACAUACGCUCAUUCACUCAUAAGUUUUGGUUAAUGUGUUUCACUCAAGUGAUCUCAUUGUACAUGCCGCCAUAUGCUUGCUUGUCCACCUAACUCGCUUAUCAAUAUUUAAGUAAUACCUUGGAUCAAUAGGACUUUAUUACGGUUGUAAUGGGGCUAAAGGUGAUAGGCUAAUGAAAGAAAUGAUAUGGAAAUCAAAAAUUUUGAGAAAGUACACUGUGGUAGUUUUCCAACACCUCAAUAUCACACCACCUCAAAUUGAAAGCAAAAUACUAAAACCUCGAGCACCUGUUACUCCCCAAAUUUAACUUCAAAAGGAAAUUUAUACUCUACCGACACAUUUUCAAUAAAUCUACACUCUCCAAUUUUCAUAUAUUUCGUUUUUUUUUUUUUUUCAUAUGAAAGAAACAAUUUUGAAAAAGCUACAUCACCCAUCAAAUUCACAUUUCAUUGUAAUACACAUGCUCCAUCCAUUUUUUUACAUAAAUGAAACCCCCAAAAGCACAACCUAUGUAAUACUUUCUCAAAACAAUAAGGAAUCGAUUUUUGUGUAUGGGCUCAACUCCAAUAUUGGAGCAAGGUAAAGAGAUGUGGCUAACAAAGAAAUGGCUUAGUUAAAGGCUCAAUGGGCUACUACGGAUAAACAUAGCAUAUAAGGUAGGCAUGAAAGGCUCAAACGAUCCGAAGAUGGCCUAUAUCACUUCCAAGUUAUUACAUGAAUUGAUUAAUGAAUCGAGUAGUAUAAAGCAAG
rnacentral:lncRNA from 1 species